UACGAAGGGGGCUAGCGUUGCUCGGAAUCACUGGGCGUAAAGGGUGCGUAGGCGGGUCUUUAAGUCAGGGGUGAAAUCCUGGAGCUCAACUCCAGAACUGCCUUUGAUACUGGCGAUCUUGAGUUCCGGGAGAGGUGAGUGGAACUGCGAGUGUAGAGGUGAAAUUCGUAGAUAUUCGCAAGAACACCAGUGGCGAAGGCGGCUCACUGGCCCGGAUACUGACGCUGAGGUGCGAAAGCGUGGGAGCAAACGGGG
rnacentral:rRNA from 1 species